CCGUUUAAUUAGCUUGGUGAAUCAAGUCAUCUCUAAAUUGAGUUGACUUAGUAAUUGAAUAUAAUCAACAUAUUAACCUGAUUCAAUAUUGUGAAACUCCAAUCUAAACAUAGUUAAAUUGAUACCGGCUCCAUGAGCUUGUUAAUAAACAUUAAUCUUCCUAUUAACUCAAAGUUCUGUAUGACAUUCCAGAAAAUGUAAAGAAGAAC
rnacentral:lncRNA from 1 species